AAACAGAAGCUGCUUUAACAGUAUACAUGGGUCGGAACUUAUAAAAAGGGUAGACUAGUUCGCUUGAAUUCAUUACAAGUUCUUCAGGAAUUAAAAAAAUCACUAGUACUUUUCUUCCAAGGCAGUAGCCUCCAAAUCAAUAGUAGCAAGUUAGCAACAAUGGUUUCCAGAAAGGUGCCUUCCCUUUUUCUCCUGGUCGUUUCGCUCUUCGUACUUAUUAACUUCAUCGAUGUUGCUUAUUCGCAAGACUGCCGGCACGGAUUUCGGGUAAAUAGCGGAGAUACCUGUUGGUCUACCGCCCAAAAAUGUGGCAUCUCCCUGCAAACGCUUUUUCACCACAACGGACUUACAGAUUGGGGAAGAAAUUGCAACAAUCUUCAGCCGGGCCAUUUUCUUUGCUGCACUAACUGGAACGGGCGAAAAUAAAGAAAAAUUCAUCAAUAAUGAAAGUCAUUUCCGCGUUUCAAAAUUAAAUCUUUUGAAAAAUAAAAAUGAAAUGGAAUAUGAAAUCUAUAUCAUCUAAUCCUUAUAUAAUUUUUGAUUGGGCUUCAUUUGCAUUUAACGUCUUGAGAUACAUUUCUUUCUUCCCUUGUGUUGAAUUUUCCGAAUUGUUUUCGACUUUCCAUAUAAUGCUAAAACCUUUUUGUUGCCCUUUCUCUAAACACUUAAUGGCUUAUUCAAACACAUAUAGUCGCAUUGCAUUAUUUUAUUAUGACUCGCAACGUCCGCAAAAUAUAAAACCAGCAAAGAAA